AGAACCCGGUAGGUAAGGCUACCACAGGGAUACGGAUUGCUGCCGCGAAAUAGUGGAGACACUAUGAGAAGGUCAACAGGCCAUGUCGAAACCAAGGCAUUGUCUAAUGUAAUUUCAUCGCCCUGCGAAGCUGAAGCUCAAACGGUGGCU
rnacentral:sRNA from 1 species